AAAGUAGUAUAUGAAUUAAAAAAGAACUUGAUGUGAUAUUUCCAAGGGAAGUAUUAGACAUAACAGAUCAUUUACUUCAUAUUAGCUGGUACCAUCCAUUUAGAAAACCUCACCAGUACUUAAGUACAGACAUACAAGUACUAUGGAAAAAUGUUCAAAAGCUCCACUAUUUCAAAUCAACUGAUUUCAAAUGAUUCAAUACUAACUGAUUUUCUUCAUAUGCUGCCAUAUAUACAACCAAAAUAUUUUUACUAAAUCUGUUAAAAUUAAAAAAAAACACAACCAAUUAAAUGAUAAGAACUCAGAUCAAAAAACAAGUACUUCCUUAAGCACUAUUUGUCUAAAUAUUGUCUUAAUGUAAAUUUUAACACUGUUUCCAAACCAGUACUGUUAAUGUUUUCUCUUGUUUUCACUCCCAAGGAUUAAAGUGAGUUAUUAUAUAUAAUGACACCUAAGCCAAAGCAGCAGAAAUCUAUGACUGCCAUUGGGAAUUUGACAACAAAUGUUAAAUUCGUAACAGACCACAUCUUACUCAACUCUCCCUAGAAAAGACAUACAUCCAAAGAAUCCAAGAAAUCACCCUUCUUCGCCCUCACUCCACCUAAAAAGCCUGGAUCACUCAUCCCAUUGACAACCUUGACUAACGUUUCUCAGUUGGAGAAGACAACCACCGACCUACAAGUGAACACCAAAACUGAAGGAGCUUUAUCCAGAGCAAGGCCUUAAGCACGUAGCUGGUCACUGCUUCCCUGAACCACUGCAGUGCAUUGCCACCACCCCUGAACGUUCUUCCCUGGGACGGCUGCGCGGGUGGGACUCAAGUGCCACGAGAAGGGCUGCUCCCGAGGCAGACCGAGCACAGCAAAACAGCGCCCAGAACCAAACACGCUGUGCACUAAACCGCGAACACACAUCAAGAUACAAUCAUCUCAUCAUUAACUUUGAGUAGCAAGUACUUAACCUCAAAUGAAGCAGCCUGCGUGCAUUGGAACAGAUGUGUAAGUUUGUUUGUUUUGCUCAAUAAACUAGUGGGCAGCUUGUUUAUCUUGGGUCUU
rnacentral:lncRNA from 1 species